rnacentral:rRNA from 1 species
UGGGGAAUAUUGCACAAUGGGGGAAACCCUGAUGCAGCGACGCCGCGUGAGCGAAGAAGGUUUUCGAAUCGUAAAGCUCUGUCCUAUGAGAAGAUAAUGACGGUAUCAUAGGAGGAAGCCCCGGCUAAAUACGUGCCAGCAGCCGCGGUAAUACGUAUGGGGCGAGCGUUGUCCGGAAUGAUUGGGCGUAAAGGGUACGUAGGCGGUCUAUUAAGUCAGGUGUGAAAGCGUGAGGCUUAACCUCAUUAAGCACUUGAAACUGAUAGACUUGAGUGAAGGAGAGGAAAGUGGAAUUCCUAGUGUAGCGGUGAAAUGCGUAGAUAUUAGGAGGAAUACCGGUGGCGAAGGCGACUUUCUGGACUUUUACUGACGCUCAGGUACGAAAGCGUGGGGAGCAAACAGG